CUGCAUGGCUGCCGUCAGCUCGUGUCGUGAGAUGUUGGGUUAAGUCCCGCAACGAGCGCAACCCUCGCCCUUAGUUGCCAGCAUUUAGUUGGGCACUCUAAGGGGACUGCCGGUGAUAAGCCGAGAGGAAGGUGGGGAUGACGUCAAGUCCUCAUGGCCCUUACGGGCUGGGCUACACACGUGCUACAAUGGUGGUGACAGUGGGCAGCGAGCACGCGAGUGUGAGCUAAUCUCCAAAAGCCAUCUCAGUUCGGAUUGCACUCUGCAACUCGAGUGCAUGAAGUUGGAAUCGCUAGUAAUCGCGGAUCAGCAUGCCGCGGUGAAUACGUUCCCGGGCCUU
rnacentral:rRNA from 1 species